GACGAACGCUGGCGGCGUGCUUAACACAUGCAAGUCGAACGGAAAGGCCCUGCUUUUGUGGGGUGCUCGAGUGGCGAACGGGUGAGUAACACGUGAGUAACCUGCCCUUGACUUUGGGAUAACUUCAGGAAACUGGGGCUAAUACCGGAUAGGAGCUCCUGCUGCAUGGUGGGGGUUGGAAAGUUUCGGCGGUUGGGGAUGGACUCGCGGCUUAUCAGCUUGUUGGUGGGGUAGUGGCUUACCAAGGCGUUGACGGGUAGCCGGCCUGAGAGGGUGACCGGCAACAUUGGGACUGAGAUACGGCCCAGACGCCUACGGGAGGCAGCAGUGGGGAAUAUUGCACAAUGGGCGGAAGCCUGAUGCAGCAACGCCGCGUGCGGGAUGACGGCCUUCGGGUUGUAAACCGCUUUCGCCUGUGACGAAGCGUGAGUGACGGUAAUGGGUAAAGAAGCACCGGCUAACUACGUG
rnacentral:rRNA from 1 species